rnacentral:rRNA from 1 species
AAACCAGCACCUCAAGUGGUCAGGAGGAUUAUUGGGCCUAAAGCAUCCGUAGCCUGUUCUAUAAGUUUUCGGUUAAAUCCAUUAGCUCAACUAAUGGGCCGCCGAAAAUACUGUAGAACUAGGGAGUGGGAGAGGUAGACGGUAUUCGGUAGGAAGGGGUAAAAUCCUUUGAUCUAUUGAGGACCACCUGUGGCGAAGGCGGUCUACCAGAACACGUUCGACGGUGAGGGAUGAAAGCUGGGGGAGCAAACCGGAUUAGAAACCCGAGUAGUCC